UGGAUUGCUGACUUCAUGAGGACCUCUAC
rnacentral:piRNA from 1 species